rfam:Pan troglodytes isolate Yerkes chimp pedigree #C0471 (Clint) chromosome 16, whole genome shotgun sequence.
AUUUAAGUAUAAGUAUGUCCCAUGAAAUAUUCAGGACAUACUUAUACUUUAA